rnacentral:rRNA from 1 species
UAGUGGCGAACGGGUGAGUAACACGUGGGCAAUCUGCCCUUCACUCUGGGACAAGCCCUGGAAACGGGGUCUAAUACCGGAUAACACUCUGUCCCGCAUGGGACGGGGUUAAAAGCUCCGGCGGUGAAGGAUGAGCCCGCGGCCUAUCAGCUUGUUGGUGGGGUGAUGGCCUACCAAGGCGACGACGGGUAGCCGGCCUGAGAGGGCGACCGGCCACACUGGGACUGAGACACGGCCCAGACUCCUACGGGAGGCAGCAGUGGGGAAUAUUGCACAAUGGGCGAAAGCCUGAUGCAGCGACGCCGCGUGAGGGAUGACGGCCUUCGGGUUGUAAACCUCUUUCAGCAGGGAAGAAGCGAGAGUGACGGUACCUGCAGAAGAAGCGCCGGCUAACUACGUGCCAGCAGCCGCGGUAAUACGUAGGGCGCAAGCGUUGUCCGGAAUUAUUGGGCGUAAAGAGCUCGUAGGCGGUUUGUUGCGUCGG